UUGCAAUCCUUGCAUCUCCUCAUAUGUACAGAAGCCCCAAAUCCCUUCAUGAUGACAUCAGAUCCUCAUAACUAACAAAAAACCUUUUCUAAAAUGAGUGCUUUGUGGUAUCCAACUCCGCCUCCUCCAGAGCCUUAUAUAUUGACUUUCCCCCAAGGCCGCUUUGGAGAAGUCUUUCAGAGCUAUCUGAGAUGCUGCCUCCUGGGCUGCAGUCCUCCUUUUGUCCCAAAUAAAACUUAACUCGCCACUCUCAAGUUGUACAUCUUUUUUAGUCAACAGUUAUUGCGACCACGAAGGGACCCAGAGUGAACUUCCUUCCUUCAUCUGGACUCCACAAGGACCUGGAGCUUUGGUACCAGCAGCGGCCCCUUGUGCCCAUUCUUGGGGCGUGCAGAUGAAUUUGGAGUGUGACUCCUGGCUGGUGAAGUUCUGGUUUGGUUUUGUUUGAGUGUGCAGACAUCUGGUACAUACUGCUCGAGCUAAUAUGGGAAUUGCUCAUUCUAAGGUUCCGCACUCCACCUGGGAACCCCUUGGAAAAACAUAUAUAUAUAUUUUUUUGACUGGUCAAUCUAUAGCUAUGACAAGAGAAAUGGCCUAAAAUAUUAGAUCUUUAUUGACAAUAGGAUAGGAAAAUGGACUAAAGUUCCCUUAUGUCUAGGACUUCCUUCUGUAAUUAACAGCCUGGGGCUGAUCAAACUAAGACCCUCACUUCCCUAGAGGGACAAUCCCUGCUGGGAGCAAUCUGCCUUGUUAUAAGGACCAAGUUGAGCACUAUCUGGUCUAAAUUCUGGCUAUAAAACUAUGAUCACAGAAAAAUAUUAUUUUUUACAAUGUGGUCACAAUAUUCUUUAGACUCCAGAGAAAGCUUGAAGAAAAAAAUUAUCUUUUUAAGAAUUCUUGCCCUUAGGAAAUAAUUCCGCCUGGAAUGUGGGAGACCCUGGUUCGAUCCUUGGGUCGGGAAGAUCCCCUGGAGAAGGAAAUGGCAACCCACUCCAAUACUCUUGCCUGGAGAAUCCCAUGGAGGGAGGAGCCUGGUAGGCUACAGUCCAUGGGGUCACAAAGAGUCGGACAAGACUGAGCGACUUCACGUUCUUUCAUACCUUUAGACCAGAGCUCUCUGGAUCACUCUAGACCAUCUCUAAUUCCUGAAACCAAAAGGAAAAAAAAAAAGGAAACAAAACCUUUUAAAAUCUUACUCUUUUUUUUUUUUUUUACAACUAGUAUUCAUAACUGAGUUUGGAAAUUAAGCAGAAUAUCUUCAUUGUACCUAGGUUUAAUAUAAGUUAACUAUUAUUAUAUCUGUUGCAAGUUUGUCAGCAAGGAAAUUACCUUGAGUGAAGAAACUUCUAAAAAAUGUUAAGAAUAAUUAUUCUUUAGGAAUGUCUGUCUAAAAUAGUCUCUCCAGAUUGGGGUAACUUGAACUUCUAAGGGUUGUGCUAAAUUAAGUGUUGGAAGUGUAUUGAAUAGCUAAGUCAUUUCCAAAUAAAAUAAGAUUUUGAAACAUUUACUGCUGAGCACUAAUUUCCUUUUACAGAGAAACUAAAGAUUUCUGGGAUUAAAAAUGAAUGGUAUUUGGGGCCCUCCUAAAAUGUUCUACAAAAGCAAAGGUUUUAGAAAUUAUCACUGGUAUUUAUGCUUACCAAUCUAUAAAAUGCUAAAAUAAAAGUCAGUUCUUGGUUGCUUAAGGGAAAUAGGAAGUGUGUUUUCGGUAAAGAAGGUAUGAGGAAUGGAACUGCAUUUUGUGAAGGGAAAAGGGAAUAAACCUGCUUCACAGGUGGCUUUUUAGGAUGGAAGACCAGUCGUGGGUACAGAAAGUGAUGAGGUUUGUGAAACGCGAACCAUGAAGAAAGAGUUUUGUACAUGGUCAGGACUAAGUUUUUCUUUAUCUCUUAAAUGAUCUGUUCUAAAAGCUUUUAUUGUUACUUUGACUAAGUGAAUAGCUAUUGUUUCACAAUGACAUAUAAUCCUAUCUGACUGAGUUCUAAACCUUUUUGAUAUUUGUUGACAAAACUUCCUAAAUCCUUCUAAUGAAGAUUUCUGGCUAACUUCUGGAUUCUUCAGAGGGCCCCUGAAACACCCCAAAGAGAGAUAGUACACUAAUUUGGCUCAUUUUGUAUACAGAAUUACAUGGGAAAUAUUGUCAAGUGAGUAAUAAGUCUUGGGUUAUAUUGUAUGGUAAAUGUUACCAAUAUAGGUAUCCUAGAAACUGUAUAAUAGGACUUCCCUGGUGACUCAGACGGUAAAGCGUCUGUCUACAAUGUGUGAGACCGGGGUUCAAUCCCUGGGUCAGGAAGAUCCGCUGGAGAAGGAAAUGGCAAUCUACUCCAGUACUGUUGCCUGGAAAAUCCCAUGGACAAAGGAGCCUGGUAGGCUUCAGUUCAUGGGGUCGCAGAGUUGGACAUGACUGAGCGACUUCACUUACACUUACAGAAACUGUAUGGAGUUCCUAAAAUUCUGAUACGUUUGGGUAAAAUGUUAUCAGGCAUAAUUCUAGCUACUAUCUCAAUAUUGUCAUAGCAUUAACCAAGUUUUGUCUCUUCAAGAAGAUUUAUAAAAAGGACUUUUGAAAAAAUACCAGUUUCUGAACUGAGUAAGGAUUCUAAUAGAAAACCUGAUGACUUCACAAAAGUUAACAAAAGGACUGAAUGAACUGGUGAAUAUGCUUAUAACUUUUAUGGUUUCUAGC